UCGAGCGGACAGAUGGGAGCUUGCUCCCUGAUGUUAGCGGCGGACGGGUGAGUAACACGUGGGUAACCUGCCUGUAAGACUGGGAUAACUCCGGGAAACCGGGGCUAAUACCGGAUGCUUGUUUGAACCGCAUGGUUCAAACAUAAAAGGUGGCUUCGGCUACCACUUACAGAUGGACCCGCGGCGCAUUAGCUAGUUGGUGAGGUAAUGGCUCACCAAGGCAACGAUGCGUAGCCGACCUGAGAGGGUGAUCGGCCACACUGGGACUGAGACACGGCCCAGACUCCUACGGGAGGCAGCAGUAGGGAAUCUUCCGCAAUGGACGAAAGUCUGACGGAGCAACGCCGCGUGAGUGAUGAAGGUUUUCGGAUCGUAAAGCUCUGUUGUUAGGGAAGAACAAGUACCGUUCGAAUAGGGCGGUACCUUGACGGUACCUAACCAGAAAGCCACGGCUAACUACGUGCCAGCAGCCGCGGUAAUACGUAGGUGGCAAGCGUUGUCCGGAAUUAUUGGGCGUAAAGGGCUCGCAGGCGGUUUCUUAAGUCUGAUGUGAAAGCCCCCGGCUCAACCGGGGAGGGUCAUUGGAAACUGGGGAACUUGAGUGCAGAAGAGGAGAGUGGAAUUCCACGUGUAGCGGUGAAAUGCGUAGAGAUGUGGAGGAACACCAGUGGCGAAGGCGACUCUCUGGUCUGUAACUGACGCUGAGGAGCGAAAGCGUGGGGAGCGAACAGGAUUAGAUACCCUGGUAGU
rnacentral:rRNA from 1 species